rnacentral:tRNA from 1 species
CGGAAUAUAGCUCAGUUUGGUAGAGCUCCUGCUUUGGGAGCAGGUUGUCAUAGGUUCAAUUCCUGUUAUUCCGA